rnacentral:ncRNA from 1 species
GGAGUAACUAUGACUCUCUUAAGGUAGCCAAAUGCCUCGUCAUCUAAUUAGUGACGCGUAUGAAUGGAUCAACAAGAUUCCUUCUGUCCCUAUCUACUAUCUAGCGAAACCACAGCCAAGGGAACGGGCUUGGCAAAAUCAGCGGGGAAAGAAGACCCUGUUGAGCUUGACUCUAGUCUGACUCUGUGAAGAGACAUGAAAGGUGUAGCAUAGGUGGGAGAUUGUCAAUUUGCCAUCGUUCACGCGAUGGUCCGGUGAUCGCCAAUGAAAUACCACUACUUUGAUCGUUUCUUUACUUAUUCGGUAAAGCGAAAAA